AUUGAACGCUGGCGGCAGGCCUAACACAUGCAAGUCGAGCGGAUGAGGGGAGCUUGCUCCUGGAUUCAGCGGCGGACGGGUGAGUAAUGCCCAGGAAUCUGCCUGGUAGUGGGGGAUAACGUCCGGAAACGGGCGCUAAUACCGCAUACGUCCUGAGGGAGAAAGUGGGGGAUCUUCGGACCUCACGCUAUCAGAUGAGCCUAGGUCGGAUUAGCUAGUUGGUGGGGUAAAGGCCUACCAAGGCGACGAUCCGUAACUGGUCUGAGAGGAUGAUCAGUCACACUGGAACUGAGACACGGUCCAGACUCCUACGGGAGGCAGCAGUGGGGAAUAUUGGACAAUGGGCGAAAGCCUGAUCCAGCCAUGCCGCGUGUGUGAAGAAGGUCUUCGGAUUGUAAAGCACUUUAAGUUGGGAGGAAGGGCAGUAAGUUAAUACCUUGCUGUUUUGACGUUACCAACAGAAUAAGCACCGGCUAACUUCGUG
rnacentral:rRNA from 1 species